rfam:Pseudomonas fluorescens SBW25 complete genome
CUUGAUGGUGGCUGUGCGCAGGGCAUUUUCGGAUGCGCCGGGCUUCUACAUUCACCGGUCUACUAACCUGCGCACAGCCGCCACCCUU